rnacentral:rRNA from 1 species
UACGGGGGGGGCAAGCGUUGUUCGGAAUUACUGGGCGUAAAGGGCUCGUAGGCGGCCAACUAAGUCAGACGUGAAAUCCCUCGGCUCAACCGGGGAACUGCAUCUGAUACUGGAUGGCUUGAGAUUGGGAGAGGGAUGCGGAAUUCCAGGUGUAGCGGUGAAAUGCGUAGAGAUGUGGAGGAACACCAGUGGCGAAGGCGGCUUUCUGGUCUGUAACUGACGCUGAGGCGCGAAAGCCAGGGGAGCAAACGGG